AGGACGAACGCUGGCGGCGUGCUUAACACAUGCAAGUCGAACGGAGGCUUUCCUCGGGGGAAGCCUUAGUGGCGGACGGGUGAGUAACGCGUGAGCAAUCUGCCUUGCACAGGGGGAUAACAACUGGAAACGGUUGCUAAUACCGCAUAACGUAACGGGGAGGCAUCUUUCUGUUACCAAAGGAGCAAUCCGGUGCAAGAUGAGCUCGCGUCCGAUUAGAUAGUUGGCGGGGCAACGGCCCACCAAGUCAACGAUCGGUAGCCGGACUGAGAGGUUGACCGGCCACAUUGGGACUGAGACACGGCCCAGACUCCUACGGGAGGCAGCAGUGGGGAAUAUUGGGCAAUGGGCGAAAAAGCCUGACCCAGCAACGCCGCGUGAAGGAUGAAGGUUUUCGGAUUGUAAACUUCUUUGACUGAGGACGACAAAAGGACGGUACUCAGAAAACAAGCCACGGCUAACUACGUGCCAGCCGCGGC
rnacentral:rRNA from 1 species